rnacentral:lncRNA from 1 species
AGAUGUGGUUAAACACGUGCAAACAAGUUCCACUGUGCAAGACAGUGAAGUUGUCCAUUCUCAGCUUGGUGUGUGUUCCCUCCUUUAAAACUGAAGUUUUCCUCAGCUGUGUCUAUGUAGCAACAGUAUCUUCUGAAUCCCUUAAGGAUCUCUGUCAGGAGCCUUGGAUGUGAUUCAGUUGGUUAAGAGUUUACCUACUGUGUACAGAAGCCUAUAGAAUACCAAGUAUGUCAAGUGUGGCGGUGUGUGCUCUCAAAGUCUCAGCACUUGGAAGGUGGAGGCAAAAGAUAGGAUCAUCAAGUGCAAGGCCACCCCUGGCAGUGGAGGAAGUUCCGUACCAGCCUGAGAUACACACGGGACCCUGUCUCCAAGGACAGGGAUGGAGAAAGGAAUGGGGGAGAAAAGAAGAGCAAAAGUUAGUAGUGCGGCUUUUCUUCAGCUCAUUAGCGAGUGAUGGGAACCAACAUCAUGAAAGUUAGGAGGAUCCUUUAGCAGGCCAGGCUCUAGGCUGCUGGCAUUCCGUGACCCACCCAUCUGCUAGGAUUUAAAAGUCCCAGAUUGAAAUCAGCGUUCUCAUUCAGAAAAGAUGCAGAGUAGCAUCUAUGAUGAGUGCUUUUCUCACUUGUGCAUUUAAUAUAUGCGUUUCAUUUCUAAUUGCCUGUGUACUUGCUUGGACAAGGAUGUCAAAUAAGUCUUGAGGAUAAAGAAGGGUAGAGAGAUGCGAGGAGGUGCCUUUCCUAUCCUGUCU